rnacentral:rRNA from 1 species
UCUUAGUGGCGGACGGGUGAGUAACGCGUGGGUAACCUGCCUUAUACAGGGGGAUAACACUUAGAAAUAGGUGCUAAUACCGCAUAAGCGCACGGGGCUGCAUGGCCCAGUGUGAAAAACUCCGGUGGUAUAAGAUGGACCCGCGUCUGAUUAGCUUGUUGGCGGGGUAACGGCCCACCAAGGCGACGAUCAGUAGCCGGCCUGAGAGGGUGAACGGCCACAUUGGGACUGAGACACGGCCCAAACUCCUACGGGAGGCAGCAG